rnacentral:rRNA from 1 species
GAGUUUGAUCUUGGCUCAGAACGAACGUUAGCGGCGCGCCUAAUACAUGCAAGUCGUGCGAGAAAGGGCUUCGGCCCCGGUAAAGCGGCGCACGGGUGAGUAACACGUAGGUAAUCUUCCCCCGAGUGGUGGAUAACCCUCCGAAAGGAGGGCUAAUACAGCAUGAGACCACGACCUCGCUGAGGUUGCGGCCAAAGUAGGCCUCUACUUGUAAGCUUACGCUUGGGGAUGAGCCUGCGGCCCAUCAGCUAGUUGGUAGGGUAAUGGCCUACCAAGGCAUAGACGGGUAGCUGGUCUGAGAGGAUGAACAGCCACACUGGAACUGAGACACGGUCCAGACUCCUACGGGAGGCAGCAGUAGGGAAUCUUGCGCAAUGGACGAAAGUCUGACGCAGCGACGCCGCGUGAGCGAUGAAGGCCUGG